UCCCCUAGUAACUGCGAGUGAAGCGGGAAAAGCUCAAAUUUAAAAUCUGGCAGUCUUUGGCUGUCCGAGUUGUAAUCUAGAGAAGUGUUAUCCGCGCUGGACCGUGUACAAGUCUCCUGGAAUGGAGCGUCAUAGAGGGUGAGAAUCCCGUCUUUGACACGGACUACCAGGGCUUUGUGAUGCGCUCUCAAAGAGUCGAGUUGUUUGGGAAUGCAGCUCAAAAUGGGUGGUAAAUUCCAUCUAAAGCUAAAUAUUGGCGAGAGACCGAUAGCGAACAAGUACCGUGAGGGAAAGAUGAAAAGAACUUUGGAAAGAGAGUUAAACAGUACGUGAAAUUGCUGAAAGGGAAACGCUUGAAGUCAGUCGCGUUGUCCAGGGAUCAACCUUGCUUUUGCUUGGUGCACUUUCUGGUUGACGGGUCAGCAUCAAUUUUGACUAUUGGAAAAAGAUCAAGGGAAUGUGGCAUCUUUGGAUGUGUUAUAGCCCUUGGUUGCAUACAAUGGUUGGGAUUGAGGAACUCAGCACGCCGCAAGGCCGGGUUUUUAACCACGUACGUGCUUAGGAUGUUGGCAUAAUGGCUUUAAUCGACCCGUCUUGAAACACGGACCAAGGAGUCUAACAUGCCUGCGAGUGUUUGGGUGGAAAACCCGAGCGCGCAAUGAAAGUGAAAGUUGAGAUCCCUGUCGUGGGGAGCAUCGACGCCCAGACCAGACCUUUUGUGACGGAUCUGCGGUAGAGCAUGUAUGUUGGGACCCGAAAGAUGGUGAACUAUGCCUGAAUAGGGUGAAGCCAGAGGAAACUCUGGUGGAGGCUCGUAGCGAUUCUGACGUGCAAAUCGAUCGUCAAAUUUGGGUAUAGGGGCGAAGACUAAUCGAACC
rnacentral:rRNA from 1 species